UACGUAGGUCCCGAGCGUUAUCCGGAUUUAUUGGGCUUAAAGCGAGCGCAGGCGGUUAGAUAAGUCUGAAGUGAAAGGCUGUGGCUUAACCAUAGUAUGCUUUGGAAACUGUUUAACUUGAGUGCAGAAGGGGAGAGUGGAAUGCCAUGUGUAGCGGUGAAAUGCGUAGAUAUAUGGAGGAACACCGGUGGCGAAAGCGGCUGUCUGGUCUGGAACUGACGCUGAGGCUCGAAAGCGUGGGGAGCAAACAGG
rnacentral:rRNA from 1 species